UUUCGAGCGUUGAAAAGUGCGCAGUAGUGAACAUAUUCCCUGUAUAGAGAGCUAGCGGUUGGUGUAAGCUAGUCAUAAUAUGGACACGAAUUACACAUUUGGAGCGAGAACGUAAGCGUCGCGUUAAGACGUAUGAGCCGGAAGAAUCAUUUUUUCUUCAAGCUGGGUGGUACCGCGUUAAAUUGUGAUUAACGUCCCUGCA
rnacentral:ncRNA from 1 species